GCGGACUCCGGCCGCAAAACCUGAACCUAUAGGGGAGGGUCUGGGUGGGCAUCUGUCCACGGUGGUGGCUCUGGCGCAGGACGUGGACCCCACUCCACCAUAGUCUUUGUCCUCUUUAGUGUCCUCCUAGGAACGGCAACCCUCGCCACCGACCUUGGACUGGCAACCCUACUAAAGGGCCCCACUGGUCUGAGGGGCAGCUCGGGACUGAGGGGCAGCUUGGGACUGAGGGGUAGCUCAGGACUGAAGGGUAGCUCAGGACCGGCUGACGGCUCUGGCAGGUCCUGGCUGGCUGACGGCUUUGGCAGGUCCUGGCUGACUGAUGGCUCAGGACAGACUGGCAGCUCCUGGCUGGCUGACGGCUCUGGCAGGUCCUGGCUGACUGACGGCUCAGGACAGACUGGCAGCUCUAGCAGCUCUGGACAGGCGGGAGACUCUAGCAGCUCUGGACAGGCGGGAGACUCUAGCAGCUCUGGACAGGCGGGAGACUCUAGCAGCUCUGGACAGGCGGGAGACUCUAGCAGCUCUGGACAGGCGGGAGCACCUGUAGACAAAGGACGGAGAGACAGCCUGGUGCGGGGGGCUGCCACCGGAGGGCUGGUGCGUGGAGGUGGCACUGGAUAGACCGGACCGUGAAGGCACACUGGAGAUUUUGAGAGCAGGGCUGGCACCAUCCAUCCUGGCUGGAUCUUCACCAUAGCCCGGCAGAUGUGGGGAGCUGGGAUGUAGCGCGCCGGGCUAAGCACGCGUACUGGGGACACCGUGCGUUCCACCGCAUAACACGGAGGCCUGGUGCGUGAGGCUGGCACAGUCUUCACCAGACGACUAGCAAGCACCUCAGGGCGAGUAUGGAGAGCUGACCCAGGUGCCAUCUAAUCCCCGACACGCUCCGUUGGGCGAAUGUUGUGCCUCAUGCACAAACACAGCACCUCCCUCAUAACUCUCUCCUCCAAUUUCCCCAUUAACUCGUUCACUGUCUCUGCUUCGCUCACCUCCAACACCGCCCUGACCGGCUCUGGUUCCUUACGGUAAACAUGGGGAAUUGGCUCAGGUCUGACUCCUGACUCUGCCACACUCUCCCUGUGCGACCCCCCAAUACAUUUUUGGGGCUGCCUCUUGGGCUUCGAGCCGCGCUGCCGUGCCAGCUCCUAGUAAUGCUGCCUCUCUGCUUUCGCUGCCUCCAGCUCUGCUUUGGGGCGGCGAUAUUCCCCUGGCUCUGCCCAGGGUCCUUUUCCGUCCAACUCGUCCUCCCAUGUCCAUGAGUCUUGUGAUGCUGGCCGCUGCUGCUGCUGCCCGUUACCAUGCCGCUUGGUCCUUGGUUGGUGGGUGUUUCUAUAAGGGUUUUCCUCCUCUUCAUCUGAGGAGGAGAAGCGAGAAGGAUUGGAGAACCAUACUAGGACGAAACAUAGAAAUCCCAAAAUCAUUGAAAAGCAAACAUAGACUGCCCACCCCAAUUCACGCCCUGACCAUACUAAAUAACGACAAAACAAAGGAAAUAAAGGUCAGAACGUGACAGUGAUACACAAUAAUGUGUUGUAUUGGAUUUUUGCAGUAUUACUUUAGUGCCUUGUUGCAAACAGAAUGCAUGUUUUGGAAUAGGUUUAUUUUGAACAGUCUUCCUUCUUUUCACUCUGUCAUUUAGGUUAGUAUUGUGGAGUAAUUACAAUAUUGUUGAUCCAUCCUCAGUUUUCUCCUAUCACAGCCAUUCAACUCUAACUGUUACCAUUGGCCUCAUGGUGAAAUCCCUAAGCGGUUUUCUUCCUCUCUGGCAACUGAGUUAAGAAGGACGCCUGUAUAUUUGUCGUGACUGGGUGUAGUGAUAAACAAUCUAAAGUGUAAUUAAUAACUUCACCAGGCUCAAAGGGAUAUUCAAUGUCUGCCUUUUUAAUUUGUACACAUCUACCAACAGGUGCCCUUCUUUGCAAGGUAUUGGAAAACCUCCCUGGUCUUUGCGGUUUCAAUUUUUUCAGUUGAAA
ensembl:lncRNA